AUCUCUUAUAAGAUAGAGUAGUCAUAACAAUUUCAUAUUCUUAUUAGGUUUUAGAUUCUUAACAAAUUUAGAUAUUUAUCUUAAAUUGUAUUACAUUUUGCAGGAGUGCGUAUUGAUACAAUCACCACCGUACUAUCAUUGGAUAUCUACAAUAUAAUCCAGGAUUAUAUUUGGAUAUAUGUGUAGGUGAUGUAUCAUUGUAAGAUUGGAUAUUUUGUAUUUGAUGUUAACUUGUUAAUACUUUUGGAUAUUUUUGAUUGUCAAUAUGUUUUGGAUAUUUGGAAUUUUGGAGAUAUGGACACUUGUUACUAUGUUUUGUAUUGUUUUUGACAGUUUUAUUAUUUGUUUGUGGGCA